CAGAUCUGGUGUCUCCAGUUUACAGAAGCACUUGCAGAACUCAUCAGAAGCCACCCCGCUUAUCAGCAGAUCUCAAGAGAGCGUUCGGUGGAGGCCCUGGGUCUGCACAGCUCACCUCCCUGGGAACUGCUCGCCCGAGCGUCGGAGCCGGCGCUGGCCCCCUGCAGCCGGAAGGUUGCAGCCGCAGGAGCCCCGGAGGCCCAGGACACAGGGCUCUUGCUCUUGCAGAAUCCACAGGUCUUUCUUGAGGAAAUCUGUAGACAGAACUUUGUGCUGCGUUUUUAUCUAGGGAAGGAACAGAAGAGUGUCGUCUCCUAGAAAUCUAGCACUGGAGAAACGAGGAAAAUUCUUCCAGCGAUGGUCUCCCACUCAGAGCUGAGGAAGCUUUUCUACUCAGCAGAUGCUGUGUGUUUUGAUGUUGACAGCACGGUCAUCAGAGAAGAAGGAAUCGAUGAGCUAGCCAAAAUCUGUGGCGUUGAGGACGCGGUGUCAGAAAUACCCGGGGCAGUAAGGCAUGUUAACCUUGAGGACAUCGGACCUGGCUGGCCUGACUGUUGGGUCUCCCUCCUAGGACACGGCGAGCCAUGGGCGGGGCAGUGCCUUUCAAAGCUGCUCUCACAGAGCGCUUAGCCCUCAUCCAGCCCUCCAGGGAGCAGGUGCAGAGACUCAUAGCAGAGCAACCCCCACACCUGACCCCCGGCAUAAGGGAGCUGGUAAGUCGCCUACAGGAGCGAAAUGUUCAGGUUUUCCUAAUAUCUGGUGGCUUUAGGAGUAUUGUAGAGCAUGUUGCUUCAAAGCUCAAUAUCCCA
rnacentral:lncRNA from 1 species